GGAAGAGACAAAAUACAGAAGGCUGAAAUGAGGGAUGGUCAUUGCUGUUUCUGCUUAUCACCUUUCCCUGGAAGAGUCUGAUCUUAGAGUGCACAGCCACUGAAUGCAAGGCUGGCUCGCCCACACUGUUCUGUUACUGAAUCUCCUGUGGAGCCUGAGGGACCGUUCUUCCAUCCGAAACAAAUGGAAUGCAGUCGGAUCUGUCUGCACUCAUUUCAUUUUAAAAUGAAACAAAAUAAAACAUGAAUGGCA